AGUGAACGCUGGCGGUAGGCCUAACACAUGCAAGUCGAACGGCAGCACAGUAAGAGCUUGCUCUUACGGGUGGCGAAUGGCGGACGGGUGAGGAAUACAUCGGAAUCUACUUUUUCGUGGGGGAUAACGUAGGGAAACUUACGCUAAUACCGCAUACGACCUACGGGUGAAAGCAGGGGAUCUUCGGACCUUGCGCGAUUGAAUGAGCCGAUGUCGGAUUAGCUAGUUGGCGGGGUAAAGGCCCACCAAGGCGACGAUCCGUAGCUGGUCUGAGAGGAUGAUCAGCCACACUGGAACUGAGGCACGGUCCAGACUCCUACGGGAGGCAGCAGUGGGGAAUAUUGGACAAUGGGCGCAAGCCUGAUCCAGCCAUACCGCGUGGGUGAAGAAGGCCUUCGGGUUGUAAAGCCCUUUUGUUGGGAAAGAAAAGCAGCAGGUUAAUACCCCGCUGUUCUGACGGUACCCAAAGAAUAAGCACCGGCUGACUUCGUG
rnacentral:rRNA from 1 species